rnacentral:lncRNA from 1 species
AAAUAGGCCGCGGGCACAGCCGCGCCCAAAAAUAAGUGCCCGAAGGUCGGGGUGCCAAAACACUUCAGCAGAAAAAUGGCCAAAAAUCGGGUGGGCUAUAGCCUUCGUGGGGGGGGCGGGCGAAAUUCGUCCGCCGGGCUCGGAAUGGGGCGCGACUUUGCGAGGGGCCUCCGUGUGCCAAAAAUAGGCGACGGGCACAGCCGCGCCUAAAAAUAAGCGCCCGAAGGUCGGGGUGCCAAAAGCCUUCAGCAGAAAAAUGGCCAAAAAUCGGGUGGGCUAUAGCCUUCGUGGGGGGGGAUGACCAAGUUCGUCCGCCGGACGCAGAAUGGGGCGAGACUUUGCGAGCGACCUCCGUGUUCCAAAAACAGGCCGCGGGCCCAGCCGCGCCCAAAAAUAACCGCCCGAAGGCCGGGGCGUCAAGUUCGCCCAGCGGAAAAAGGCCACAAAAACGGGUGGGCUAUAGCCUUGGGGGUUGGGGCUGACCAAGUUCGUCCGCCGGAAGCGGAAUGGAGCAAGACUUUGCGAGCGGCCUCCAUGUGUCAAAAAUAGGCCGCGCGCACAGCCGCCCCCAAAAAUAACCGCCCGAAGGCUGGGGUACCAACUUCGUCCAGCGGAAAAAGGCCACAAAAACUGGUGGGCUAUAGCCUUGGGUGGUGGGGCUGGCCAAGUUCGUUUUCCGGACUCGGAAUUGGAGGAGAAUUUACGAGUGGCCUCCGUGUGCCAAAAAUAGGCCGCGGGCACAGCCGUGCCCAAAAAUAAGCGCCCGAAGGUCGGGGCGCCAAAUUCGUCCAGCGGAAAAAGGCCACAAAAACGGGUGGGCUAUAGCCUUGGGGGGUGGGGCUGGCCAAGUUCUUCCGCCGGACUCAGAACGGGACGAGACUUUGCGAGCGGCAUGCGUGUGCCAAAAAUAGGCCGCGGGCGCAACCGCGCCCAAAAAUAAACCCCCGAAGGCCAUGGCGCCAAGUUCGUCCAGCGGAAAAAGGCUACAAAAACGGGUGGGCUAUAGCCUUGGGGGGUGGGGCUGGCCACGUUCGUCCGCCAGACUCGGAAUGGGACGAGACAUUGCGAGCGGCAUCCGUGUCCCAAAAAUAGGCCGCGGCCACAGCCGCGUCCAAAAAUAACCGCCCGAAGGCCGGGGUGCCAAGUUCGUCCAGCGGAAAAAGGCCACAAAAACGGGUGGGCUAUAGCCCUGGGGGGGGGGGCUGGCCAAAUUCGUCCGCUGGACUCGGAAUGGGGCGAGACUUUGCGAGCGGCCUCCGUGUACCAAAAAUAGGCCACGGGCACAGCCGCGCCCAAAAAUAACUGCCUGAAGGCCGGGGCGCCAAGUUUGUCCAGCGUAAAAAGGGCACAAAAACGGGUGGGCUAUAGCCUUGGGGGGUGGGGCUGGCCAAGUUCGUCCGGCGGAGUCGGAAUUGGGCGAGACUUUGCGAGCGGCGUUUGUGUGCCCAAAAUACGACGUAGGAGCAGCCGCGCCCAAAAAUAACCUACCGCAGGCCGGGUUGCCAAGUUCGUCCAGCGGAAAAAGGCCACAAAAAAGGGUGGGCUAUAGCCUUGGGGGGUGGGGCUGGCCAAGUUCAUCCGCCGGACUCGGAAUGGGGCGAGACUUUGCGAGCGGCGUUUGUGUGCCCAAAAUACGACGCAGGCGCAGCCGCGCCCAAAAAUAACCGCCCGAAUGCCGGGGCGCCAAGUUCGUCCAGCGGAAAAAGUAAAAAACGGGUGGGCUAUAGCCUUGGGGGGUGGGGCUGGCCAAGUUCGUCCGCCAGACUCGGAAUGGGGCGAGACUUUGCGAGCGGCAUUUGUGUGCCCAAAAUGAGACGCAGGCGCAGCCGCGCCCAAAAAUAACCGCCCGAAGGCCGGGGCGCCAAGUUCGUCCAGCGGAAAAGGGCAAAAAUGGGUGGGCUAUAGCCUUGGGGGGUUGGGCUAGCCAAGUUCGUCCGCCGGGCUCGGAAUGGGGCGAGACUUUACGAGCGGCCUCUGUGUGCCAAAAAUAGGCCGCGGGCGCAGCCGCGCAAAUAAAUAACUGCCCGAAGGCCGGGGCGCCAAGUUCGUCCAGCGGAAAAAGUCCACAAAAACGGGUGGUCUAUAGCCUUGGGGGGAGGGCCUGGCCAAGUUCGUCCGCCGGAUGCGGAAUGGGGCGAGACUUUCCGAGUGGCCUCCAUGCGCCAAAAAUAGGCCGCGUGCACGGCCGCGCCCGUAAUUACCAGCCCGAAGAACGGGGCGCCAAGUUCGUUCAGCGGAAAAAGGCCACAAAAAUGGGUGGGCUAUAGCCUUGCGGGGUGGGGCUGGCCAAGUUCGUCCGCCGGACUCGGAAUGGGACGAGACGUUGCGAGCGGUCUCCGUGUGCCAAAAAUAGGCCGCGGGCACAGCCGCUCCCAAAAAUGACCGCCCGAAGCCCGGGGCGCCAAGUUCGUCCACCGGAAAAUGGCCACAAAAACGGGUGGGCUAUAGUCUUGCGGGGUGGGGCUGGCCAUGUUAGUCCGCCGGACUCGGAAUGGGGUGAGACAUAGCGAGCAGCCGCCGUGUCCCAAAAAUAGGCCGAGGGCACUGCCGCGCCCAUAAAUAACAGCCCGAAUGCCGGCGCGCCAAGUUCGUCCAGUCUUGCGGGGUGGGGCUGGCCAUGUUAGUCCGCCGGACUUGGAAUGGGACGAGACUUUGUGAGCGGCCUCCGUGUUCCAAAAAUAGGCUGCGGGCACAGCCGUGCCAAAAAUUAACCGCCCGAUGGCCGGGGCGCCAAGUUCGUCCAGCGGAAAAAGGCCACAAAAACGGGUGGGCUAUAGACUUGGGGGGUGGGGCUGACCAAGUUCGUCCUCCUGACUCGGAAUGGGACGAGUCUUUGCGAGCGGCCUUCGUGUUCCGAAAACAGGCCGCGGGCCCAGCCGCGGCCAAAAAUAACCGCCCGAAGGUCGGGGUGCCAAAUUCGUCCAGCGGAAAAAGGCCACAAAAACGGGUGGGCUAUAGCCUUGGGGGGUGGGGCUGACCAAGUUCGUCCGCCGGAAGCGGAAUGGGGCAAGACUUUGCGAGCGGCCUUUGUGUGCCAAAAAUAGGCCGUGGGCACAGCCGCGCCCAAAAAUAACCGCCCGAAGGCCGGGGCACCAAGUUCUUCCAGCGGAAAAAGGUCACAAAAACGGGUGGGCUAUAGCCUUGGGGUGUGGGGCCGGCCAAGUUCGUCCUCCGGACUCGGAAUGGGACGAGUCUUUGCGAGCGGCCUUCGUGUUCCAAAAAUAGGCCGUGGGCACAGCCGUGCCCAAAAAUAACCGCCCGAAGGCCGGGGCGCCAAGUUCGUACAGCGGAAAAAGGCCACAAAAACGGGUGGGCUAUAGCCUUGGGGGGUGGGACUGGCCAAAUUCGUCCGCCGGACUCGGAAUGGGGCGAGACUUUGCAAGCGGCCUCCGUCGGCCAAAAAUAUGCCGCGGACACAACCGCGCCCAAAAAUAACGGCCUGAAGGCCGGGCCGCCAAGUUCGUCCAGCGGAAAAAAGGCCACAAAAACGGGUGGGCUAUAGCCUUGGGGCGUGGGGCUGCCCAAGUUCGUCCGCCGGACUCGGAAUGGGACGAGACUUUGCGAACGGUCUCUGUGUACCAAAACUAGGCCACGGGCACAGCCGCGCCCAAAAAUAACUGCCCGAAGGCCGGGGCGCCUAUUUCAUCCAGCGAAACAGACCACAAAAACGGGUGGGCUAUAGCCUUGGGGGGUCCGGCUGGCCAAGUUCGUCCGCCGGACUCGGAAUGGGGCGAGACUUUGCGAGCGGUCUCUGUGUACCAAAACUAGGCCGCGGGGGCAGCCGCGCCCAAAAAUAACUGCCCGAAGGCCGGAGCGCCACGUUCGUCCAGCGGAAAAAGGUCACAAAAACGGGUGGGCUAUAGCCUUGGGGGGUGGGGCUGGCCAAGUUCGUCUGCCGGACUCCGAAUGGGGUGAGACUUUGUGAGCGGCCUCCGUGUACCAAAAAUAGGACGCGGUCACAGCCGCGCCCAAAAAUAACCUCCCGAACUCCGGGGCGCCAAGUUCGUUCAGCGGAAAAAGGCCACAAAAAAGGGUGGGCUAUAGCCUUGGGGGGUGGGGCUGGCCAAGUUCAUCCGCCGGACUCGGAAUGGGACGAGACUUUGCGAGCGGCCUCCAUGUGCCAAAAAUAAGCUGCGGGCACAGCCACACCCAAAACUAUCCUCCUGAAGGCCGGGGCGCCAAGUUCGUCCAGCGGAAAAAGGCCACAAAAACGGAUGGGCUAUAGCCUUGGGGUUGGGGCUGGCCAAGUUCGUCCGCCGGACUCGGAAUCGGACGAGAUUUACGAGCGGCCUCCGUGUGUCGAACAUAGGUCGUGGGCACUGCCGCGCCCAAAAAUAACCACCCGAAGGCCGGGGCGCCAAGUUCAUCCAGCGGAAAAACGCCACAAAAUCGGGUGGGCUAUAGCCUUGGGGGGUGGGGCUGGCCAAGCUCGUAAACCGGACUGGGAAUGGGAUGAGACUUUGGGAGCGGCCUCCGUGUGCCAAAACUAGGCCGCGGGCACAGCCGCGUCAAAAAAAUAACCGCCCGAAAGACGGGGUGCCGAGUUCGUCCAGCGGAAAAGGGCCACAAAAACGGGUGGGCUAUAUCCUUGGGGGGUGGUGCUGACAAGUUAGUCCGCCCGACUCGGAAUGGGGCGAGACUUUGCGAGCGGCCUCCGUGUGCCAUAAAUAGGCCGCGGGCACAGCCGCACCCAAAAAUAACCGCCCGAAGGCGAGGGGCCAAGUUCGUCCCUCGGAAAAGGGCCACAAAAACGGGUGGGCUAUAGCCUUCGGGGGUGGGACUGGCCAAGUUCGUCCGCCGGACUCGGAAUGGGACGAGACUUUACGAGCGGCCUCUGUGUGCUAAAAAUAGGCCGCUGCCGCCCGAAGGCCGGGGCGCCAAGUUCGUCCAGCGGAAAAAGGCCACAAAAACGGGUGGGCUAUAGCUUUCGGGGGUGGGGCUGGCCAAGUUCGUCCGCCGGACUCGGAAUCGGACAAGACUUUGUGAGCGGCCUCCGUGUGCCAAAAAUAGGCCGCGGGCACAGUUGCGGCUAAAAAUAACUGCCCGAAGGCCGGGGCGCCAAGUUCGUCCAGCGCAAAAAGGCCACAAAAACGGGUGGGCUAUAGCCUUCGGGGGUGGGGCUGGGCAAGUUCGUCCGCCGGCCUUGGAAUAGGACGAGACUUUGCGAGCGGCCUCCGCGUGCUAAAAAUAGGCCGCUACCACCCGAAGGCCGGGUUGCCAAGAUCGUCCUUUGGAAAAAGGCCACAAAAACGGGUGGGCUAUAGCCUUGGGGGGUGGUGCUGGCCAAGUUCGUCCGCCGGACUCGGAAUGGGGCGAGACUUUGCGAGCGGCCUCCGUGGGCUAAAAAUAGGCCACGGGGACAGCUACGCCCAAAAAUAACCGCCCAAAUGCGGGGGCGCCAAGUUCGUCCAGCGGAAAAAGGCCACAAAAACGGGUGGGCUACAGCCUUGUGGUGAGGAGCUGGCCAAGUUCGUCCGCCGGGCUCGGAAUGGCGCGAGACUUUGCGAGUGGCCUCCAUGUGCCAAAAAUAGGCCACGGGCACAGCUGCGUCCAAAAAUAACCGCCCGAACUCCGGGGCGCCAAGUUCGUCCAGCGGAAAAAGGCCACAAAAAAGGGUGGGCUAUAGCCUUGGGGGGUGGGGCUGGCCAAAUUCGUCAGCCGGACUCGGAAUGGGGUGAGACUUUGCGAGCGGCCUCCGUGUGCCAAAAAUAGGCUGCGGGCACAGCCACGCCCAAAACUAUCCUCCUGAAGGCCGGGGCGCCAUGCUCGUCCAGCGGAAAAAGGCCACAAAAACGGGUGGGCUAUAGUGUUGGGGUUGGGGCUGGCCAAGUUCGUCCGCCGGACUCGGAAUCAGACGAGAUUUACGAGCGGCCUCCGUGUGCCGAACAUAGGUCAUGGGCACAGCCGCGCCCAAAAAUAACCACCCGAAGGCCGGGGCGCCAAGUUCAUCCAGCGGAAAAACGCCACAAAAUCGGGUGGGCUAUAGCCUUGGGGGGUGGGGCUGGCCAAGCUCGUAAGCCGGACUCGGAAUGGGAUGAGACUUUGGGAGCGGCCUCCGUGUGCCAAAACUAGGCCGCUGGCACAGCCGCCCCGAAAAAAUAACCGCCCGAAAGACGGGGUGCCGAGUUCGUCCAGCGGAAAAAGGCCACAAAAACGGGUGGGCUAUAUCCUUGGGGGGUGGUGCUGGCCAAGUUAGUCCGCCGGACUCGGAAUGGGGCGAGACUUUGCGAGCGGCCUCCGUGUGCCAUAAAUAGGCCGCGGACAUAGCCGCACCCAAAAAUAACCGCCCAAAGGCCGAGGGGCCAAGUUCGUCCCUCGGAAAAGGGCCACAAAAACGGGUGGGCUAUAGCCUUCGGGGGUGGGGCUGGCCAAGUUCGUCCGCCGGACUCGGAAUGGGACGAGACUUUACGAGCGGCCUCUGUGUGCUAAAAAUAGGCCGCUGCCGCCCGAAGGCCGGGGCGCCGAGUUCGUCCAGCGGAAAAAGGCCACAAAAACGGGUGGGCAAUAGCCUUGGGGAGGGGGGGCUGGCCAAGUUCGUCCGCCGGACUGGGAAUGGGGCGAGACUUUACGAGCGGCCUCCGUGUGCCAAAAAUAGGCCGCAGGCACAGCCGUACCCAAAAGUAACCGCCCGAAGGCCGGGGCGCCAAGUUCAUCCAGAGGAAAAAGGCCACAAAAAUUGGCGGGCUAUAGCCUUGGGGGGUGGGGCCGGCCAAGUUCGUCCGGCGGACUCGGAAUGGGACGAGACUUUGCGAGCGGCGUCCGUGUGCCAAAAAUAGGCCGAAGGCACAGCCGCGCCCAAAAAUAACCGCCUGAAGGCCGGGUCGCCAAGUUUGUCCGGCGGAAAAAGGCCACAAAAACGGGUGGGCUAUAGCCUUGGGGGGUGGGGCUGGCCAAGUUCGUCCGCCGUACUCGGAAUGGGACAAGACUUUCCGAACGGGCUCCGUGUGCCAAAAAUAGGCCGCGGGCAUAGCCACUCCCAAAAAUAGCCGCCCGAAGGCCGGAUCGGCAAGUUCGUCCCGCGGAAAAAGGCCACAAGAACGGGUGGGCUAUAGACUUGGGGGGUGGGUCUGGCCUAGUUCGUCCGCCGGACUCGGAAUGGGACGAGACAUUGUGAGUGGCUCCUUGUGACAAAAAUAGGCCGCGGGCACAGCCGCGCCCAAAAAUAACUGCCCGAAGGCCGGGGCGCCAAGUUCGUCCAGCGGAAAGAGGCCACAAAAACGGGUGGGCUAUAGCCUUGGGGGGUUGGGCAGGCCUAGUUUGUCCGCCGGACUCGGAAUGGGACGAGACUUUGCGAGAGGCCUCCGUUUGCCAAAAAUAGGCCGCGGGCACAGCCGCGCCCAAAAAUAACCGCCCGAAGGCCGGGGCGCCAAGUUCGUCCAGCGGAAAAAGGCCACAAAAACGGGUGGGCUAUAUCCUUGGGGGGUGGGGCUGCCAAAAUUCGUCCGCCGGACUCGGAAUGGGGCGAGACUUUGUUAGUGGCCUCCGUGUACCAAAAAUAGGCCGCGGGCACAGCCGCUCCCAAAAAUAAUUGCCCGAAGGCCGGGGCGCCCAGUUCGUCCUGCGGAAAAAGAACACAAAAACGGGUGGGCUAUAGCCUUGGGGGGUGGGGCUCGCCAAGUUCGUCCGCCGGACUCGGAAUGGGACGAGACUUUGUUAGCGGCCUCCGUAUGCCAAAAAUAGUCCGCGGACACAGCCGUGGCCAAAAAUAACAGCCCGACGUCCGGCGGAAAAAGGCCACAAAAACGGGUGGGCUAUAGCCUUGGGGGGUGGGGCUGGCCUAGUUCGUCCGCCGGACUCGGAAUGGGACGAGAUUUUGCGAGUGGCCUCCGUGUGCCAAAAAUAGUCCGCGGGCAUAGCCGCACCAAAAAAUAACCGCCCAAAGGCCGGGGUUCCAAGUUCGUCCAACGGAAAAAGUCCACAAAAACGGGUGGGCUAUAGUCUUGGGGGGUGGGGCUGGCCAAGUUCCUCCGCCGCACUCGGAAUGGGACAAGACUUUCCGAGUGGCCUCCGUGUACAAAAAAUAGGCCGCGGUCACCGCCGCUCCCAAAAAUAACCGCCCGAAGGCCGGAGCGGCAAGUUCGUCCUGCGGAAAAAGGCCACAAGAACGGGUGGGCUAUAGACUUGGGGGGUGAGUCUGGCCUAGUUCGUCCGCCGGACUCGGAAUGGGAUGAGAUUUUGCGAGCGGCCUCCGUGUGCCAAAUCUAGGCCGCAGGCACAGCCGUGCCCAAAAUUAACCGCCCGCAGGCCGGGGCACUAAGUUCGUCCAGCGGAAAAAGGCCACAAAAACGGGUGGGCUAUAGCCUUGGGGGGUUGGGCUGGCCUAGUUUGUCCGCCGGACUCGGAAUGGGACGAGACUUUGUGAGAGGCCUCCGUUUGUCAAAAAUAGGCCGCGGGCACAGCCGCCGCCAAAAAUAACCGCCCGAAGGCCGGGGCGCCAAGUUCGUCCAGCGGUAAGAGGCCACAAAAACGGGUGGGCUAUAGCCUUGGGGGGUUGGGCUGGCCUAGUUUGUCCGCCGGAGUCGGAAUGGGACGAGACUUUGUGAGAGGCCUCCGUUUGCCAAAAAUAGGCCGCGGACACAGCUGCCGCCAAAAAUAACCGCCCGAAGGCCGGGGCGCCAAGUUCGUCCAGCGGUAAGAGGCCACAAAAACGGGUGGGCUAUAGCCUUGGGGGGUUGGGCUGGCCUAGUUUGUCCGCCGGACUCGGAAUGGGACGAGACUUUGUGAGAGGCCUCCGUUUGCCAAAAAUAGGCCGCGGGCACAGCCGCCGCCAAAAAUAACCGCCCGAAGGCCGGGGCGCCAAGUUCGUCCAGCGGUAAGAGGCCACAAAAACGGGUGGGCUAUAGCCUUGGGGGGUUGGGCUGGCCUAGUUUGUCCGCCGGAGUCGGAAUGGGACGAGACUUUGUGAGAGGCCUCCGUUUGCCAAAAAUAGGCCGCGGGCACAGCCGCCGCCAAAAAUAACCGCCCGAAGGCCGGGGCGCCAAGUUCGUCCAGCGGUAAGAGGCCACAAAAACGGGUGGGCUAUAGCCUUGGGGGUUUGGGCUGGCCUAGUUUGUCCGCCGGACUCGGAAUGGGACGAGACUUUGCGAGCACCCUCCGUGUGCCAAAAAUAGGCCGCGGGCACAGCCGCGCCCAAAAAUAACUGCCCGAAGGCCAGGACGCCAAGUUCGUCCGGCGGAAAAAGGCCACAAAAACGGGUGGGCUGUAGCCUUGGGGGGUGGGGCUCGCCAAGUUCGUCCGCCGGACUCGGAAUGGGACGAGACUUUGUUAGCGGCCUCCGUAUGCCAAAAAUAGUCCGCGGACACAGCCGUGGCCAAAAAUAACAGCCCGACGUCCGGCGGAAAAAGGCCACAAAAACGGGUGGGCUAUAGCCUUGGGGGGUGGGGCUGGCCUAGUUCGUCCGCCGGACUCGGAAUGGGACGAGAUUUUGCGAGUGGCCUCCGUGUGCCCAAAAUAGGCCGCGGGCAUAGCCGAGCCAAAAAAUAACCGCCCGAAUGCCGGGGUUCAAAGUUCGUCCAACGGAAAAAGGCCACAAAAAUGGGUGGGCUAUAGCCUUGGGGGGUGGGGCUGGCCAAGUCCGUCCGGCGGACUCGGAAUUGGGCGAGACUUUGCGAGCACCCUCCGUGUGCCAAAAAUAGGCCGCGGGCACAGCCGCGCCCAAAAAUAACUGCCCGAAGGCCAGGACGCCAAGUUCGUCCGGCGGAAAAAGGCCACAAAAACGGGUGGGCUGUAGCCUUGGGGGGUGGGGCUCGCCAAGUUCGUCCGCCGGACUCGGAAUGGGACGAGACUUUGUUAGCGGCCUCCGUAUGCCAAAAAUAGUCCGCGGACACAGCCGUGGCCAAAAAUAACAGCCCGACGUCCGGCGGAAAAAGGCCACAAAAACGGGUGGGCUAUAGCCUUGGGGGGUGGGGCUGGCCUAGUUCGUCCGCCGGACUCGGAAUGGGACGAGAUUUUGCGAGUGGCCUCCGUGUGCCCAAAAUAGGCCGCGGGCAUAGCCGAGCCAAAAAAUAACCGCCCGAAUGCCGGGGUUCAAAGUUCGUCCAACGGAAAAAGGCCACAAAAAUGGGUGGGCUAUAGCCUUGGGGGGUGGGGCAGGCCAAGUUCGUCCGCCGGACUCGGAAUGGGACGAGACUUUCCGAGCGGCCACCUUGUGCCAAAAAUAGGCCACGGGCAAAGCCGCCCCAAAAAAUAACCGCCCGAUGCCGAGGCGCCAUGUUCGUCCCGGCGGAAAAAUGCCUCAAAAACGGGUGGGCUAUAGCCUUGGGGAGUGGGGCUGGCCAAGUUCGACCGCCGGACUCAGAAUGGUUCAAACUUUGCGAGCGGCCUCCGUGUGCCAAAAAUAGGACACAGGUACAGCCGCGCCCAAAAAUAACCGCCCGAAGGCCGGGGCACCAAGUUCGUCCAGCGGAAAAAGGACACAAAAACGGGUGGGCUAUAGCCUUGGGGGGUGGGGCUGGCCAAGUUCGUCCGCCGGACUCGGAAUGGGACGAGACUUUGCGAGUGGUCACCGUGUGUAAAAAAUAGGAGACGGGCACAGCCGCGCUCAAAAAUACGGGCCCGAAGGCCGGGGCGCCAAGUUCGUCCAGCGGAAAAAGGCCACAAAAACGGGUGGGCUAUAGCCUUGGGGGGUGGGGCGGGCCAACUUCGUCCGCCAGACUCGGAAUGGGGCGAGACUUUGCGAGCGGCCUCCGUUUACCAAAAAUAGGCCGCGGGCACAGCCGCGCCCAAAAAUAACCGCCCGAAGGCCGGGGCGCCAACUUCGUCCAGCCGACAAAGGCCACAAAAACGGGUGGGAUAUAGCCUUGGGGGGUGGGGCUGGCCAAGUUCGCCCAGCGGAAACAGGCCACAAAAACGGGUGGGCUAUAGCCUAGGGGGGUGGGGCUGGGCAAGUUCGUCCGCCGGAAUCGGAAUGGGACGAGACUUUGCGAGCGGCCUCCGUGUGCCAAAAAUAGACCGCGGGCACAGCCGCGCCCAAUAAUAACCGCCUGAAGGCCUGGGCGCCAAGUUCAUCCAGCGGAAAAAGGCCACAAAAACGGGUGGGCUAUAGCCUUGGGGGGUGGGGCUGGCCAAGUUCGUCUGCCGGACUCGGAAUGGGAUGAGAUUUUGCGAGCGG